rnacentral:snRNA from 1 species
GGGUGUGAAAUAGAGCCUUCUGAU